UACGAAGGGGGCUAGCGUUGUUCGGAAUUACUGGGCGUAAAGCGCACGUAGGCGGGUCGUUAAGUCAGGGGUGAAAUCCCAGAGCUCAACUCUGGAACUGCCUUUGAUACUGGCGACCUAGAGUUCGGAAGAGGUUAGUGGAAUUCCCAGUGUAGAGGUGAAAAUUCGUAGAUAUUGGGAAGAACACCAGUGGCGAAGGCGGCUAACUGGUCCGAUACUGACGCUGAGGUGCGAAAGCGUGGGGAGCGAACAGG
rnacentral:rRNA from 1 species